rnacentral:siRNA from 1 species
UGAAGUUGGCCAACUCUCUC